UAACGCGUGGGUAACCUGCCUCACACUGGGGGAUAACAGUUAGAAAUAGCUGCUAAUACCGCAUAAGCGCACGGUUCCGCAUGGAACAGUGUGAAAAACUCCGGUGGUGUGAGAUGGACCCGCGUCUGAUUAGCCAGUUGGCGGGGUAACGGCCCACCAAAGCGACGAUCAGUAGUCGGCCUGAGAGGGUGAACGGCCACAUUGGGACUGAGACACGGCCCAAACUCCUACGGGAGGCAGCAGUGGGGAAUAUUGCACAAUGGGGGAAACCCUGAUGCAGCGACGCCGCGUGAGUGAAGAAGUAUUUCGGUAUGUAAAGCUCUAUCAGCAGGGAAGAAAGUGACGGUACCUGAAUAAGAAGCCCCGGCUAACUACGUGCCAGCAGCCGCGGUAAUACGUAGGGGGCAAGCGUUAUCCGGAUUUACUGGGUGUAAAGGGAGCGUAGACGGCAAGGCAAGUCUGAAGUGAAAGCCCGGUGCUUAACGCCGGGACUGCUUUGGAAACUGUUUGGCUGGAGUGCCGGAGAGGUAAGCGGAAUUCCUAGUGUAGCGGUGAAAUGCGUAGAUAUUAGGAAGAACACCAGUGGCGAAGGCGGCUUACUGGACGGCAACUGACGUUGAGGCUCGAAAGCGUGCGGAGCAAACAGGAUUAGAUACCCUGGUAGUCCACGCCGUAAACGAUGAUUGCUAGGUGU
rnacentral:rRNA from 1 species